GAGUCUGCCUUUUCAAAAUGGCCGUGACCUGUAAAAUAACCAGCUCUGCAAAGGGAAGGAAGGCCAGGUGCUCCGAGCAGGCGCACAGCUGGGUCUCCGCUGCCCAAGCCUGUGCAUCUCCUGGCUGCAGACCUAAAGGCGCUCUCACCCAGGGCAACGCUGACUCGGGCUACACUACAUCUUUACCAGCUGGGGUGGUUGGGGGGGGGGGGCUGGAACCCACCGAGAACUUCUGGAUCCUUUGCUUGUUAGGGGAGAACCAGAUAGAAAGCUCCCAGCCUGGUUCUAGCUACUGGGUUUCAAAUGAGAGAAAAUCCCAAUUUCUCUUUUAAAUCUUCCCUAGUGUUCGACAGUGGUCAAGCUUGCUGCAGACUAUGAUAAUGAUGAUAAGAACAACUACCCUGUAGUUAAAUGUUGUUGUUAUUAUUAUCUAUAAGGAGGCUGGGUGUCAUCUCACUUAAUUACAUGUAAAAACAGAAUAAACACUGAGCUCUCAGGGGUCUUACCACUCCUCUGUUUCAAAAAGUCAUCCUGGAAUAUAUCCAGGGACAUAGCUUCUAAGUAACCACAGUGAAACAGGGCUUCCCAACCCUCGGGAAAUGGCAUUUGGUAGUUUGUCACCUUACGAUAGUGAGCACCUGGCUAAUGUGUAGAAAUUUGGAUUUUGUAAUUUUUGCAUAUUAUAAUAAGAUACUACUUAUGUUUCCUAUAAGCUUUAUUCAUACAUAUAGCCUGAAGAUAAGUUUACAGAAUAUUUUAAAUAAUUUUAUGCAUGAAACUAAGCUUCAUGGUGUUGAAUUUUCCACUUGUGGCCUCAUGUCAAUGCUCAGAAAGUUCUAGAUUUUGCAUUUUUGGAUUAGGAAUGCUCAACCUGUAAUAAGUGCUGAGAAUUGGGGUUGGGGAAUACAAAGAAAAAUACAAGAAAAAUACAGACUCCUGGUCUUUCUUGGACAGCUUGAUUUCAAGGGUAGACAAAGCUCUAAUGCAUUUUUUUUUGGCCAUUUCUCAUUUUCUAAAAGAAACACUGCAUACAUUACCACUGCCUUCCUAAACUGGAGAUACCAGCCAGGGAAUAGUGUUAACUUUUCAUGAAAAUUCAGUUUCGCCAUAAUCAAAACAAUUGAUAAUAUUCUGUUGUGAUAUUAUUUUGGAGGACACACAGUGUUUGAUAUCCAAAUAACUCUGGAUAGCAGUACUUCUGGGCUCUGGUUUCUAUUAUCAUAUUUUUUUGUCUCUUUGUUCUUAUCUCUGGUCACAUCUCUGGUGUCACAACACUCCUCUGCAGUGGGCCUGCUUCUGUUAUUUCAUUGCUGCAGACUAAGCUUACACCAAGGCCAUUAGAAUUAAUGUGUAAAAUUGAAAUGACAGUUCCGUGUGGGCUGAGGGACUCUUCUGUAGAUAAGGCGAAUGAGUUGGUUCAAUGACUUGUGAUAUUUAAUUCUAGCUGUGCUCAGAUGUUUUCUUGGCUAAGUUUGUGUUCCUGAGUGGGUCUUGACAGGGGUAGCUGCUAGAUGCAUGAGAAAGUAGCCUACCAAAAUUUGCAAGCUUGCAGAAAUAUCUGAUGGUUC
rnacentral:lncRNA from 1 species